GCUGGGCGCAGUGGCGGGCGCCUGUAAUCCAGCUACUCGGGAGGCUGAGGCAGGAGAAUUGCUUGAACCCAGGAGGCGGAGGUUGCAGUGAGCCAAGAUCGCACCACUGCACUCCAGCCUGGGCGACAGAGCAAGACUCUGCCUCAA
rnacentral:SRP_RNA from 1 species